rnacentral:rRNA from 1 species
UACGUAGGGUGCGAGCGUUAAUCGGAAUUACUGGGCGUAAAGCGUGCGCAGGCGGUGAUGUAAGCCAGGUGUGAAAUCCCCGGGCUUAACCUGGGAAUGGCCGUUGAAACUGGCGAACUGGAGUGUGGCAGAGGGGGGUGGAAUUCCGCGUGUAGCAGUGAAAUGCGUAGAGAUGCGGAGGAACACCGAUGGCGAAGGCAGCCCCCUGGGCUAACACUGACGCUCAGGCACGAAAGCGUGGGGAGCAAACAGG